UACGUAGGGUGCGAGCGUUGUCCGGAAUUACUGGGCGUAAAGAGCUCGUAGGUGGUUUGUCGCGUUGUCCGUGAAAACUCACAGCUCAACUGUGGGCGUGCGGGCGAUACGGGCAGACUGGAGUACUGCAGGGGAGACUGGAAGUUCCUGGUGUAGCGGUGGAAUGCGCAGAUAUCGAGGAGGAACACCGGUGGCGAAGGCGGGACCUGGGCCAGUACUGACGCUGAGGAGCGAAAGCGUGGGGAGCAAACAGG
rnacentral:rRNA from 1 species